rnacentral:rRNA from 1 species
UGGGGAAUAUUGGACAAUGGGCGAAAGCCUGAUCCAGCAAUGCCGCGUGGGUGAAGAAGGUCUUCGGAUUGUAAAGCCCUUUCGACGGGGACGAUGAUGACGGUACCCGUAGAAGAAGCCCCGGCUAACUUCGUGCCAGCAGCCGCGGUAAUACGAAGGGGGCUAGCGUUACUCGGAUUGACUGGGCGUAAAGGGCGCGUAGGCGGCUUGUACAGUCAGACGUGAAAUUCCUGGGCUCAACCUGGGGGCUGCGUUUGAUACGUGCGGGCUUGAGUUCGGAAGAGGGUCGUGGAAUUCCCAGUGUAGAGGUGAAAUUCGUAGAUAUUGGGAAGAACACCGGUGGCGAAGGCGGCGACCUGGUCCGAUACUGACGCUGAGGCGCGAAAGCGUGGGGAGCAAACA